GACGAACGCUGGCGGCAUGCCUAACACAUGCAAGUCGAACGAGGCCUUCGGGUCUAGUGGCGCACGGGUGCGUAACGCGUGGGAACCUGCCCUUAGGUUCGGAAUAACUCCCCGAAAGGGGUGCUAAUACCGGAUAAUGUCUUCGGACCAAAGAUUUAUCGCCUUUGGAUGGGCCCGCGUUGGAUUAGCUAGUUGGUAGGGUAAAAGCCUACCAAGGCGACGAUCCAUAGCUGGUCUGAGAGGAUGAUCAGCCACACUGGGACUGAGACACGGCCCAGACUCCUACGGGAGGCAGCAGUGGGGAAUAUUGGACAAUGGGCGAAAGCCUGAUCCAGCAAUGCCGCGUGAGUGAUGAAGGCCUUAGGGUUGUAAAGCUCUUUUACCCGGGAUGAUAAUGACAGUACCGGGAGAAUAAGCUCCGGCUAACUCCGUG
rnacentral:rRNA from 1 species